rnacentral:rRNA from 1 species
UACGUAGGUGGCGAGCGUUGUCCGGAUUUACUGGGCGUAAAGGGAGCGUAGGCGGAUAUCUAAGUGGGAUGUGAAAUACCCGGGCUCAACCUGGGUGCUGCAUUCCAAACUGGAUAUCUAGAGUGCAGGAGGGGAAAGUGGAAUUCCUAGUGUAGCGGUGAAAUGCGUAGAGAUUAGGAAGAACACCAGUGGCGAAGGCGACUUUCUGGACUGUAACUGACGCUGAGGCUCGAAAGCGUGGGGAG